ACGGGUGCGGAACACGUACACAACCUUCCUUUUAGUGAGGAAUAGCCCGGGGAAACCCGGAUUAAUACCUCGUAAUAUUAUGAUGUGGCAUCACAUUAUAAUUAUAGCUCCGGCGCUAGAAGAUGGGUGUGCGGCUGAUUAGGUAGUUGGCGGGGUAACGGCCCACCAAGCCUACGAUCAGUAACUGGUGUGAGAGCACGACCAGUCACACGGGCACUGAGACACGGGCCCGACUCCUACGGGAGGCAGCAGUAAGGAAUAUUGGUCAAUGGACGCAAGUCUGAACCAGCCAUGCCGCGUGGAGGAUGAAGGUCCUCUGGAUUGUAAACUUCUUUUCUCUGGGGCGAAAAAAGGGCUUUCUAGCUCACUUGACAGUACCAGAGGAAUAAGCACCGGCUAACUCCGUGCCAGCAGCCGCGGUAAUACGGAGGGUGCAAGCGUUAUCCGGAUUCACUGGGUUUAAAGGGUGCGUAGGAGGGCAGGUAAGUCAGUGGUGAAAUCCCCGAGCUUAACUUGGGAACUGCCGUUGAUACUAUCUGUCUUGAAUAUUGUGGAGGUAAGCGGAAUAUGUCAUGUAGC
rnacentral:rRNA from 1 species